UGUUGGGCCCACUGCGCUGCUGUAGCUAUUGCCUUACAGCCUCUUCUGGCCAGGCAGUCUCUUCCCUAGGGACUGUUAGAAACUGCCAAUGUCCCAAGGCCUCCCUCUCCCAAGAAACAGUCCCUUGGUACAACUGAAGCUGCUGUGGCUGUAGGCAGGGGAAGAGGAUGCUGCAGGCAUGAGGCUGGCCUGGAAGGAAUGGCCACAGAGGGAGACACCUGUAUAUGGAUGGGCCAGUGCUUGGUCCUUGGUGAGAAAUGAAACAGCAUGUGCACCUAGGAAAGGACAGUGAAAAAAGCAGAGAGGACACAAAGCUGUGUUUGAGCCUCUUCUCACCAGGCUGAAGGAAGGAGAGCAUGAAUGGCUUUGUGGUGAGAAGAACAGGUGCUGCUGAGAAAAUGAAGAAGAAACCUCAGGAUGCCAGAAGAAACCAGUCAGGAUGUCAUAACAAGCACUGUAUAUCAGAAACCUAUUGGAGAGAAAGCCCAGCUCAAACACUAACAUUGUUUUUGCAAAGCAGGAAACGUUGCUUAAAUUCACAUGUUCUGUUCCAGAAAUUACCAUUGCAUUUGGCAUCAGCAGAAAGACAAGAAUCCAGGGAGUCACAGAGACAUUCUUAGCCCUGAAGUCUCUUAGGGAUGAGGAACCCAAACAAGAAUCUUGCAUUGGAAAUUCAAGACAUGCUGCUCUAGUUGCCAGGCCUGUACCUCACUGGCCACCAGCUGAAGUGACCGUGUGCUCCAGUUGGAUUUGAUAGAUGUGAUCUACCUGCAGCAGGCUGCCCUCAUGCCAAACCUGUCUGGAUGGUCCAUGGUUGGUGAAAACAGAGACUUGGAGACUUUGCAUCACAAGGAGUGGUGUGCACUGGCUGUUGCCAUGAAGUCUGGUUAUUCUGAAGACUUAAAGCCGCAUAUAUGAAGCAAGAAAGCAUCAGGAUCUUCUUGGAGCCCGGCCGUGCCAUACAGGUAUCUUCUUCCUCCCUCACCUGCCAGCUGCCUGCAGAACCAACAUGGCACACAUCUAUCUGAGCUCUCCACAUUUGAAGUGCAGCUGACCCUGGAUGGUGACCCAACUUUAUCAUUUCCUCCUCUAUGUCCCAGACCUUCAAACGACUGGAGUGAUGUCUGGGGAUGAUUCCCUUUCCUCUCCUAUGUAAUGUAGGAGCGUGCUAGCUUCAUCAAAUGUGGAUCCACCAGCUAUUCACGUGUCAGAAAUACUGAGAAAGCCCGGGAAGAAAGAGUAAGUGAUGUACAUUUUAAGCUUGCCUGGAAAUCAUAAUAUGGUUCUUUAAAUAUGGUUAAUAAAGGGAUUUAUCCUCACUGUUAAGUAUCUUAAGUGUACCCAGAGAAAUGUCUGACAGUCUACAGGAGCCUUAUCAGUAAAUGAGACCUGGGAACUUAAAUACCUUAAGAUGUCUUGAUGCCUUCUCAUAUUUUUCUCAUAAACUGCUACUGCAAAAAUAAUUUUGGAAGGGCUUGGAGACUCUUACACAUGCUUUUUUGUU